rnacentral:misc_RNA from 1 species
AUCUUCUGUUAUUAAUGAUAUUUUCUAUUUAGAGAAUAUUUAGGUGAGGUUUUACUUGGACACCCGUAAUAACUAAAUAAUUAUGGAUAAUGACCAAGGCGGAUGAUUUUCAGUUUUGAGAAAGCUAUUUACUUUCUCAGGAUGUUCUUUGAAAUGAAAAAGAUAAUAACCGAGUUAACUUAAUAAAGUUAAUCAUACGUAAAUUAAUA